rnacentral:lncRNA from 1 species
CAAUUUGGGAGGCCGAGGCGGGCAGAUCAUGAGGUCAAGAGAUCUCAAGCAACCUGGCCAACAUGAUGAAACCCCCUUGUCUACAAAAAAUACAAAAAUUAGCUGGGCAUGGUGUUAUGCGCCUGUAGUCCCAGCUACUGAGGAGGCUGAGGCAGGAGAAUCACUUGAAGGAUUGCGGUGAGCUGAGAUUGCAUCACUGCACUCCAGACUUGUAAGAGAGUGAGACUCCAUCUCAAAACAACAACAACAACAAAGAAAAAAAAAAAAACCUGCAAAGUAGGACGUGACUGUAGGGGCUUGUAGUUCUCAUGAGUAUCACUGCUCUUCUUUUCACAGCUGAGAGAUUAUCAUCAGCACAACAGCCCUGGUGUUGGUACAGGAGCAACCGACACCAAAAGGCAAAUAAACAGUGGCAGCGACACUGACACCACCACUUCUCCUGGCUGCCACUCACCUGAGGACGAAAAUAAGCCAAUUUACCACCAUCUGGCAGCCCUCAAGUGGCAGGUAGAGGUGAGUGGAGGGUGUGGAGUUCCCUCCUGUCCUCUGGAGGAGGUUUCUUUGCUUCUCUUUCAGCAUGUGCUUGGCUUUUCUCCCACAGGCUCAGGCUGAUAUCAUCGGUGCCCAGGAGACAGCCCUAUACUUCAGUGAGAAUGCAGCCAGGCAGCUAGAAGGUGGGAAUCUGGACACCCCGUCAUCAUCAUUUCAACCUGGCACUUUGACAGGCUUUUAGGGGGAGUCCCUUGGGCCUCAUCUCAACCUCUCUCCUUCCAGGAGACUGCAGAUACCUCUCCGGCUGCCUGCAACAUGCCUCCCGACAGGUGGAGGACUUGCAGCAGGCUUUGUCUCAUGUAUCCAGACAGAAAAACAUGGCGGACAGGGUGAGUCCAAACACCUGCCCCAUCCCCUGGCAAUCCGACUUCCCAGAUGGAGGAGUGAUGGUAAAGGUUCCUCUGCAGGAUGGAGCAUCCUUCCCAGAAGGCAGCAUGGGCCAUUUCUUGGUGCUUCUGUGUGUGGUUGUCAGAGGCAGGCUGGGGCUGAGUCGGCUGCUGUGGUGCAAUGAGGAGUUAAUAAAGGAGAGGGAUGGCCUGAGUCUGGCACUGUACAGGAACACUAUUCAUCAAUGAGGAGCUGGAGAGGAAGAACACCAAACUAGAAGAAAAACUUAGACUCCUGCAGUCCGAAAAGUCCAGCAUCCAGCUCAGUGUCCAGGAGCUACAAAGCAAGCUGGAUAG